CACGUAGGGGGCUAGCGUUGUCCGGAUUUAUUGGGCGUAAAGAGCGUGUAGGCGGCCAGAUAGGUCUGCUGUGAAAACUCGAGGCUCAACCUCGAGCUGUCGGCGGAAACCAUUUGGCUAGAGUCCGGAAGAGGAGAGUGGAAUUCCUGGUGUAGCGGUGAAAUGCGCAGAUAUCAGGAAGAACACCUAUGGCGAAGGCAGCUCUCUGGGACGGUACUGACGCUGAGACGCGAAAGCGUGGGGAGCGAACAGG
rnacentral:rRNA from 1 species